rnacentral:tRNA from 1 species
GGGGUUGUGGCUCAGUGGUAGAGUGCUUGCCUAGCACGUGAGGCACUGGGUUCAAACCUCAGCACCA